rnacentral:pre_miRNA from 1 species
AGGAGGAACAACCGCAGUGGCGGGGCCAGCUCUGGAGCCCUGGAGUCAGCUCCGGCAGGAACUCCGGAGCUCUCCGUCUGCAGGGCCUGGAGGCUCCGGGGCGGG